ACCUGCAUGGAAAUAAGAGCAAGAAGAUAAGCAGAAAUGAGAGAAAAAUAUUAAGAACCUGCACUAUGUUCUUUUUCAGCCUCUGUUCUCCAAAGCUAGGGUUCACAGGGGGGCAUGGAGUCACACUGAAGUGCUGGGAAGGCAAGAAAGCGGUGAUUUUGUAUUGGCAGUCUGAGGCACUCAGAAAGAACUUUCACCUUGAUUAUAUAAUCUAUAAGAAUUUAGGAAAGUACUAAAGGUCAAGCAUGUCCUUAAGUACUUUAAUGAAAAACACUGGACAUGAUGUGGCUUUUGAAUAGAACUUCACUGAACAAAUAAAUAAUUAAAGGUUUUCCUUUGCAAAGUAAGUUAUUGCAAGUUUUAAUUAUCAAACAACAAAUGUAAUCUAUUCAUUUACAACUAUCAGUUGAAAAAAUUUUCUGCAAGUUGAUGGAAGAAAAUGAGCUAUAUUACUUAAGUGAAAGAGAACCCCAGCUGAGAAUAAGACACUGACUUGAAUUCAUGCAAAUACCAGUUUGUAAUUUUUAACUAUUAAUAGAAAUCUUGCUAUUUCUUUAGCUUUAUUAUUCACCAGAAUAAGCUUUGAAAUUGCUGGGUGUAACUAUCUUUCGCAUCAGAUACAUAAAAUAUUGUCUACCAUUAUGUAACCAGAUAUGUGAAUCAAGUCAAUAGCAUAGUCUAUACUGUAAACAGUCACUGAGUAUCACAGAACUUUUGAGAAUUUGAUUGGAAGGGACUGAUGGAGAUCACUUAAUCCAAUCUCCCAUUCAAACCAGGAAUAUGCCCAAUACUAGACCAGGUCAGCUGUGAUUUUGUCUAGCUGAGUAAUGGAUGGAGAUUCUACAAACUCUUGACCCACCUGAUCCAGUUCUUACCCUUUCGGUACAACAGUUUUCCUUAACAUUCAAUUUCAACUCUCUAAACAGUGAAUUGCAGGUGAUGCUAAACCAUCUUAUUAUACUUUCCACUACCAAAAAGUGUUUGACUCUGUUACCUUUGUAAUUAACUUUUAAGUAGGUUGUUAUUACAUUUUCACUUUGCCCUCUCUUUCCUACACUGAAUGAGCCCAGUUCUCUCUUCCUCUCUUUGUAAGUCAUGUUCUCUAUGCACCUAAAUAUCGAUAGUCCCCUGUUGGACAUACUCCAGCAUCUUAAAUGUUCUGUUUGAACUGGUGGCCCAACAUUGGACCAGCAUGCCAUUGGUAGUCCCACCACAGUCAGGCAGAAUGGAAUAAUUACUUCCUCAAUAUCUUAGACCAUCCUCAUGUACUCUUUGAUGAAUUUCACAAUGUUGCAGCUGACCUAAUCCCCAAGUUUAUCAAGGUCUGUCUGGACUGAAACUCUGCCAUUUGCAUGUGUCAGCAAUGCUCCCAUAAUUCAGUACCAUCCACAAAUUUACUAAGAGAGCAUUCUAUCUCAUUAUCUAUACCACUGAUGAUGAUAACAGUAUUUGACCCAGCACUGACUCCUGACUCCGUUUAGUGCCAGCUGCUAAUCACAUAUUGCUGUAUUGGUUAUUAACCUUUGAACCAGGUGCUAAAACCCAUUUUUAUCCCAUCUGACAGUCUGCUCAUCUAGGCUAUACUUCCAAAUGAGAAUGCUGUGAAAGAUGGUGCCAACAACUGUGGUAAAGUCAAGACAUAUGACUGUUGUUUUCUGUUCAGCUGUUUCAUCAGUGACAGCAAUCAAGUUGUCAGGCAUGAUUUUCCCUUAGCAUAUCUGU